GAGUGCAAACCCUAAUUCCCUCCUUUCGGCGACCAUUUCUUCUCUUCCAACCACAAUAUUGAACACCAGUAGGGAUUACAAGAUUCUUACUCACCUUAAUUCCUCACUUCAGAAAGAUUUUGUUGUCGGAUUUUGAGUAUCCUCAUUGUGGUGAGAGGAACUUAGUGCCAUUGUUCCAUUUUGAGAAAAGCAAAAGAUUGUAAGAACUGCUAUCAACAAGUUCCGUGCAGCUAUUCAGUUACAAUUUGAUUUCCAUCGGGCAAUUUACAAUCUUGGAAUUGUUCUGUUAAAGUAUUCACAAGCCUCCAAGAAAAUGCACCAAAAAGCGGUAUCCUUGCUUCCUUUAUUUUUUUUCCCACUAAUCAAUUUUUCUGUUAUUCUUAUUGUUACUUCCAUCAAAGCCAUUUUUAUACUGUUCAUGUUUUUUAUAAUAAUAACACUCAUUUGCUUAAAUAAGUGUUGAAAAAUUUAAAUUCUCUCUUGUAUAUAUAUUGAUCCGAUCCAAUAUACAUGUGUAUGAAAUUAAAUAUCAAUGUGGGACUCAGACCAAAAGAUUAAAAGAAGGAACAAUUUGGAAGCAGUGUAGUAGUGUUCCUUUUUGUACUUGCAUGCAUAUAAUUCAUGAUUUGUUAAUGUUUAUGUCUGCGUCAUGAAAUCUACAUUCUUUUCCCAUUGAACCAAAGUAGAUGCCACUUUCCAACUCACUUCGAUUGUGUAACAGAGUAACACUUCACACCAGGUUUUGUUUAUUUAUUUAGUUAUUUAUUUAUUGUAUAUUGUCAAAAGAAAGAA